rnacentral:rRNA from 1 species
UACGGGGGGGGCAAGCGUUGUUCGGAAUUACUGGGCGUAAAGGGCGCGUAGGCGGUUGGAUAAGUCAGCUGUGAAAACCACGGGCUUAACUCGUGGCCUGCAGUUGAGACUGUCUGGCUUGAGUGUGGGAGAGGGAUGCAGAAUUCCAGGUGUAGCGGUGAAAUGCGUAGAUAUCUGGAGGAACACCAAUGGCGAAGGCAGCUCGCUGGGACGGUACUGACGGCUGAGGCGCGAAAGCGUGGGGAGCGAACCGG